rnacentral:rRNA from 1 species
CCUACGGGUGGCUGCAGUCGAGGAUCUUCGGCAAUGGGGGCAACCCCGACCGAGCGACGCCGCGUGGGCGACGAAGGCCUUCGGGUUGUAAAGCCCUGUCGAGGGGGAGGAAAGCCGCAAGGUCUGACCCAUCCCUGGAGGAAGCUCGGGCUAAGUUCGUGCCAGCAGCCGCGGUAAGACGAACCGAGCGAACGUUGUUCGGAAUCACUGGGCUUAAAGGGCGCGUAGGCGGGCGGCCGCGUCCGGGGUGAAAUCCUCCGGCUCAACCGGAGAAC